UGGGGAAUAUUGGACAAUGGGGGCAACCCUGAUCCAGCAAUGCCGCGUGUGUGAAGAAGGUCUUCGGAUUGUAAAGCACUUUCGACGGGGACGAUGAUGACGGUACCCGUAGAAGAAGCCCCGGCUAACUUCGUGCCAGCAGCCGCGGUAAUACGAAGGGGGCUAGCGUUGCUCGGAAUGACUGGGCGUAAAGGGCGUGUAGGCGGUUUACACAGUCAGAUGUGAAAUCCCCGGGCUUAACCUGGGAGCUGCAUUUGAUACGUGUAGACUGGAGUGUGAGAGAGGGUUGUGGAAUUCCCAGUGUAGAGGUGAAAUUCGUAGAUAUUGGGAAGAACACCGGUGGCGAAGGCGGCAACCUGGCUCAUGACUGACGCUGAGGCGCGAAAGCGUGGGGAGCAAACAGGUUAGAUACCCUGGUAGUCCACGCUGUA
rnacentral:rRNA from 1 species